rnacentral:tRNA from 1 species
GGAGGCUGUCUAGCUGGUGGCUAGGACCGGCCUUAUAAGCCGGACAUUCCCUACGGGGAAUCGGGUCCGAUCCCCGCAGCCUCCGCCA